rnacentral:ncRNA from 2 species
AUCGUUCAUCUUUAUGAAGUGCUGGAGAAUUGAUUUUUCAGCGAAAUUUCUUGUAAAGACGGAAGUAGGGAAAUAUCCCCAAGGAACGCGCC